UAAUUAAUCCAAAAAAGGAGAGAGAGAAAAUAGAGUAACCCCAGCUGUACCAUCCGGAGGAUCACGAGACAACGGCGGGCAGAGCAUCAUCGGGAAAGAGAACUCGUUACCACUCAGUUCAGCUUUAGGGUAGCAUUGGCAGCAAAAUGUCUUUGUCGUCGUCGUCGGCGGCAUCCUUGCAGCGAAUGCGGAUGUUUGACAAAAUUCCGUCGGCUGAAGAGUUCAUUUCAGAGAUUGAGCCUCUCAACGUUCCCGCGGUAUUCAGCGGCUGUAUAAAAAAUUGGAAGGCUUUUUCUCAAUGGAACCCCUCAAAUGGCGGUCUCGAUUAUUUGCAGGAAAAGGCAGGGUCAUCGACAGUGGAGGCCAUGCUUUCCCAACAAGCGCCAGUAUUUUACGGAGACAUUAGAAGCCAUGAAAGGGUUUCAUUGCCUUUCUCUACGUUUAUUGGAUAUUGCAAGGACAAUUUAUGUGAUAGAUGUGAUGGUGAAGAUAGUUUUCUUGAAUCAAAGAAGCAUACUCCCACAGAAUCUCAUACUGGCCAAUUUGAAUUUCCUGAGCAGAUUUAUCUUGCACAGGUGCCAAUUCUGAAUAUUGAGUGCACAGAGAAGGUUCAGUUGGAAUGCUUGAGGGAGGACGUUGAAAUGCCUCCAUUUUUGGAGAGUAAAACCAUAUCAUCUAUUAAUUUGUGGAUGAAUAGUGCUCAAAGUAGAUCAAGCACUCACUACGAUCCACACCAUAACCUUCUAUGUAUAGUCUCUGGAUGUAAGCAAGCAGUUGUGUUAUGGCCACCUUCUGCAUGUCCCUUUCUGUAUCCACGCCCCAUAUAUGGGGAGGCUUCAAAUCACAGCACCCUAGAUUUAGACGAACCAAACUUUUGUGCACAUCCAAGGGCAGAACAUUCUGAUGAAUAUUCCCAGAAGAUUAUUCUUCAUGGCGGCGAUGCUCUUUUCAUUCCUGAGGGGUGGUACCACCAAGUGGACAGUGAAACUUUGACCAUUGCUGUUAACUUCUGGUGGCGCUCAGACAUGAUGUCUGGUUUGUCAGACCACAUGGAUUCCUAUUAUUUGCGUAGAAUACUGAGAAGAUUGAUUGACAAAGAGAUGAACCAAUUGCUGCAUUUGCCUUCUCUUGUGGACGACAAAAUAGAUGGUAAUCAAAGCGACCAACCAAAGACCAGGGUUCCAGGAGGGGUACAGUUAAGGCAAAUGAGCGUGUUGCAUGAAAUGGAUCAACUUGCAGUCUCUGCUCUUCAGAAACUUGUUUCUUUGGUUCAUGAACGUGUCAAUCCAAACCAACCAGUGAAUAGCACCCCAGCAAAUAAUUUGGCUGUUGAAGGGAAAGAUGAAAGUAAUGAAAUAAUGAAACCGGACUUAUUCAACUUGAAAGAUGACCCAGUUGCAUUACUGUUGUGGACUCUCCAACCGCUUGCCCUUCGAUGUGUAUUGCUUGCAAUGGCACCUUUUGCAAUUACAGCACAAUUUCCCAAGAACUCUUGAGGCCUUGAUAUUGCUUGUGCUCUCACCCGUUGGGGCAGAGGUCCUUACUCGAAAGUUUGAGGAGAUGGAUCAGCUGAUUGGUGAAGAAGAUCGAAGCCAGUUUUACCAGAUUUUCUAUGGUGUUUUCGACAACCAGAUUGCUGCAAUGGAUGCACUUUUGAAUGGAAAAGAGUCAUUUGCACGUCAGGCAUUCAAGAAUGUGCUGGACCAGUAUUUGGGAGUACAUUUUGAUGGUUCAAAACCUUUGGUUAAAUGAGACGUUGACUGGUACUUGGCUUUUCUAAGGACUACUGGUCCCUAACUUAUUCAAAUUCACUUCUGAGGUGACUCUUUUUUUAUUGGUUUGCGCUUGUGCAUGUCUUAGACAGGAAAAAGAAAUAUGCCUUGUACAAUACCUGAUCCUGUUGUUGGUAAUUACUGAUGUAUCCUAGGGACUUCUACUGCAAUUUGUUUUGUCAGAUACAUUUACAGGAAGUGCCUUUCUUCUGCUUUUUAUUAUUUAUUUUUUGGCUUUAUUUGGCAAGGAUCCUGAUUGUGGAGUAACUGAUCCUUGAUCCUCAAUAGUUAAGUGAAACGAAGAUAAUCAAGUAUCUGUAUUUCUAUCUGGACCAUUAUUUCGUCUGAUCCCCUUUGUUAAUGCCAAAUUUGUUUUGUCCAAUGUCCAUGGAGAUAUUCUACUUCCAAGCUUUACAUGUGUUAGUGAACCAGCAAUAAGAGGUGUGCAUGAAUCAUCUAAAAUGUAAAGCUGACAUUUUUAUGCUUAAACUUUCAUGGAUAUAUGAAAAUAAAGGGUGUUUAAGCUACUAAUUUCUAUCUGAUUUCCUUCUCUCUGUGGAUUGUGGAGUGGUGAAAAUGACACUAUUAGAUAGUUGUGAAUGCAGAUUAUGGGGUAAAUUAACAUGAGGUGUUAUCUUGCAAGAUGCUUUAAAGUUCCAUUACUUUGAUUACCAAAAUUUGGUACUUGCAUAAAGAUAGGAAUAUCUCACCAAGCAACACCGGGCCCCCUAGGGAACAUUUUAAUAUUUUGGCUUUCGUGGUGAUUGAGAAACUGGAUGAAAAGUUGACUAAGGUGGGACUUCAAGCUGCCAUCUGCUUUCAGUUUCACUUCCCAGCGGAAUCAUCUUUAUUCAGAAUAGGAUGAAAAGUUUAUAAUUUUAAUUCUACCACAUAAUUUUGAGACUUAUGCUGGAUUUUAGUUGAAGUGAAACAUGUCUUUUUUGCGUAGUUAAGGUUAGGGAUUACGGGGAAGUGUCAUUUACAUUACAGCGGUUUUUGAGCUCAAGGCUAAAGAGAAAAAGCAUGAAAAAGUGGUCUGGAUUCAUUGUUGAUUCUGGAUGGAAGAAGAAGUAGGGGAAAAGGUAAGGCUAGUGGAGAUGAGAUUCCCUGAUCAAAGAUAGCACAAGUCUUUUAGAGAGGAAGGGGAGCAGGGAAUAGAAGAGAAGCUUGCUUUUUGUUUGUCUGGUUGUGCAGUCAAAGCUAGAUAAAAAAGCACCGGUCUUUCUAGUAGGCAAAUGGUGUGCUGUAUUGUACCUUAAGCCUGCUGCAUAAAUUUACCUUCUAAAAGCUAGGAUAUACCAUACGUUUUCUUGGCUGCUGCAUUCAUUAAUUCAUGUGCUUAUUCUCUUUUCCCCUUC